rnacentral:tRNA from 4 species
GUCCCCUUCGUCUAGAGGCCUAGGACACCGCCCUUUCACGGCGGUAACAGGGGUUCGAAUCCCCUAGGGGAC